UUUCCCUCAGGAUAGCUGGCACUCGCUCGAUAGCGAGUCUCAUCUGGUAAAGCGAAUGAUUAGAGGCCUUGGGGCCGAAACGACCUCAACCUAUUCUCAAACUUUAAAUGGGUGAGAUCUCUGGCUUGCUUGAACGUUUGAAGCCACGAGAUCGGGCCUCGUCUUUCGAAAGAACGGCGGGAGCCUCAUGGAUCAGAGUGCCAAGUGGGCCAAUUUUGGUAAGCAGAACUGGCGCUGUGGGA
rnacentral:rRNA from 1 species